rnacentral:lncRNA from 1 species
CUAAUAUGAACUGUACUGCUACACCUGCUACAAACUAGAGAAGAUUUAUUCAGCUAUUGUCCGCAAGAAAAAAGAUGAUUUACUUUGUUAUGCUUCUUGUGUUGAAUCGAACGGCAUGCCAACAGUACAUGCAAACAUCUCUUAUCAGGUAUAAUAAGUCUAGCAUUUGGACCUUGCUAGGUAUAAUAAGUCUAGCAUUUGGACCCUGAGACAUCCUGUUCCUGAAUCACUUGACGGCAGAAUUCAGUUAAUUAUAGUCUCAUAUCAGCAACAUUCAGUAUCAUACUUAGCUUCUCCUCUGUGAUUAGCUGCUCCGGCGUCAUUUCCUC